UGGGGAAUAUUCCGCAAUGGACGAAAGUCUGACGGAGCAACGCCGCGUGAGAGAUGAAGGUUUUCGGACUGUAAAGCUCUGUUGUUUAGGACGAAAGUGCCUGUUGCAAACAGGUACAGGUAUUGACGGUACUAAACGAGGAAGCCACGGCUAACUACGUGCCAGCAGCCGCGGUAAUACGUAGGUGGCAAGCGUUGUCCGGAAUUAUUGGGCGUAAAGAGCAUGUAGGCGGGAAUCUAAGUCUGUUGUGAAAAUGCGGGGCUCAACCCCGUAUUGCGAUGGAAACUGGGUUUCUUGAGUGCAGGAGAGGAAAGGGGAAUUCCCAGUGUAGCGGUGAAAUGCGUAGAUAUUGGGAGGAACACCAGUGGCGAAGGCGCCUUUCUGGACUGUGUCUGACGCUGAGAUGCGAAAGCCAGGGUGGCGAACGG
rnacentral:rRNA from 1 species